rnacentral:rRNA from 1 species
GAUGAACGCUGGCGGCGUGCCUAAUACAUGCAAGCCGAGCGAACAGAUGAGGAGCUUGCUCCUCUGACGUUAGCGGCGGACGGGUGAGUAACACGUGGAUAACCUACCUAUAAGACUGGGAUAACUUCGGGAAACCGGAGCUAAUACCGGAUAAUAUAUUGAACCGCAUGGUUCAAUAGUGAAAGACGGUUUUGCUGUCACUUAUAGAUGGAUCCGCGCCGCAUUAGCUAGUUGGUAAGGUAACGGCUUACCAAGGCAACGAUGCGUAGCCGACCUGAGAGGGUAAUCGGCCACACUGGAACUGAGACACGGUCCAGACUCCUACGGGAGGCAGCAGUAGGGAAUCUUCCGCAAUGGGCGAAAGCCUGACGGAGCAACGCCGCGUGAGUGAUGAAGGUCUUCGGAUCGUAAAACUCUGUUAUUAGGGAAGAACAAAUGUGUAAGUAACUAUGCACGUCUUGACGGUACCUAAUCAGAAAGCCACGGCUAACUACGUG